AACAUGAGCAUGAUAAUGGACCAGAAAGAUAGUAAAGCAGCAAAGUGGAGGAAACAAAGAAAUAAUUAUGCCUGCACUAAAGUAGAUUUUCCUUGCCUAUAAAGGAGUCUGUCUUUCCAACCAUAGAGGGUAGAGGUAUAAAAUCGGUGAGUGAACAUGCAUAAUCAGGAUAAUUAAUAGGGACAUAACGCUGCGACUAAACCUUCGACCAUGGAGUUAUUUUCAUGGAACUUGCUUCCACAGCCUUAUACAUGUUCUUUGCUAAUUUCACAAAGGAAUUGUUGAUGAGGAAAACAUUGCCCUCCUUGAGUUUUCCCUGAAUAGUUUUUGUAUUCAAUCACAUGUACCUCUCCAUACAUAUUGUUUCUAUAUAAGAUCAGUAUUAAACACAAGGAAGUUACAUUAUGUACAAAGAAUACACCUAAUAAGUUUUUAGUAGGCAUGUUCAUCAACAAAGACGAUGUCAAGAUGCGUUCAAUGUCCAUCUAGGGACCUCAUACAAGAGCUACGCGUGCAAGCGCAGUGACACGCCGAGGGAUGGCUUCAGAUCUGAUAGAUGCAAAUUGGCCUGAAAACCAACUCACUGAAUUCUCUUACUUCUUCCUGUUGGGAAGGGAGUUAAUCAGAAUUGGAUAUAUUUCCACAAAGAUGAGUUACCUGUGCAGAAGCCAUGGAUGAUGGUGAGCAGUCGAAGUAAAAAAAUUGCGAGUACAGUCUCCAAGAACUGCCCAAAUCAAUCGACCACAGCAAACAUGAAACACCUGUAUGUAUAGUUUUUGGAAUGAGAGAAAAUCAGGGCAAUUCAAUUGCUUGGUGGAAGAAUGAAUCAUACAUUCAUAUACUGAACUGAAAAAUAUAUAGGGAAACCUAUCCAAUCAUCAUGCGGACAGAUGUUAUGCUUGGGAGAAAACGGUGAGUGCGUGGUAGUAAGGGGGGAAGCAUAUAUAUACACGUACUUGUACCGUGAGGCAGCGGAGAGGAUGGGCACAUCACCAGCCAUGAUUGUGUGUAGAGAAACUGAAGAUUUAUUGCGUCUUCAAAUCGCUGCGGAGCAGUUUCCUCAUACCAAGAGUCAUGGCGUCAACCUCCCGCGUCCGUUGGGUCCCCUCCUUCCGCCAAGCAAUCGAGGCAUCCCCUUUACCUUCCCAAUCUCUCUCACACGAAUCCCCUUCAAAUCACAGCAUCGAAUCCCCUUAAAAUCACAGCGACCGAUGCCCUUCCCCCUUCUCUGGAAAUCGUAGCG
rnacentral:lncRNA from 1 species